rnacentral:pre_miRNA from 1 species
UAUUUAGAAUGGCGCUGAUCUGAUGAAUAAAAAAAAAAUGAUCAGGGCCUUUCUAAGUAGA